UACGUAGGUGGCAAGCGUUGUCCGGAAUUAUUGGGCGUAAAGCGCGCGCAGGCGGUUUCUUAAGUCUGAUGUGAAAUCUUGCGGCUCAACCGCAAGCGGUCAUUGGAAACUGGGGAACUUGAGGACAGAAGAGGAGAGUGGAAUUCCACGUGUAGCGGUGAAAUGCGUAGAUAUGUGGAGGAACACCAGUGGCGAAGGCGACUCUCUGGUCUGUUACUGACGCUGAGGCGCGAAAGCGUGGGGAGCGAACAGG
rnacentral:rRNA from 1 species